UGUCUUCUAAAUAAAGACCCGUAUGAAUGGCUAAAUAAGAACGAACCUGUCUCCUGCAACUAGUCAAUGAAACUGAUCUCCCAGUACAAAAGCUGGUAUACAAUCAUAAGACGAGAAGACCCCGUGGAGCUUUAAAGAUAAUACUACGCCUCACAACCCUAAGCCCCCGAUAGUAAAAACUUUCAGUUGGGGCGACUGCGGGGCAAAACAAAACCCCCAUGAACCAGGGGUUACCCCCCCCCUCCAAGGCCAACAAGCCAACGACUAAAUCAACUGACCCAGCACAUCCCUGAUCAUCGAACCCAGUUACCCCGGGGAUAACAGCGCCAUCCUCCUCAAGAGUCCCUAUCGCCAAUAGGGUUUACGACCUCGAUGUUGGAUCAGGACCCCCCAUUGGUGCAGCCGCCCAUAAAGGUGCGUUUGUUCAACGCUUAAAGUCCU
rnacentral:rRNA from 1 species